CCUGACUGCUUCUAAUUUUAUAGCAAGGCAAUGACUCCACACAGCACAAAGUUUGAGAACAAGUCAUACAAUAUAAUGUCCUUAGAAAGGUCUCGGUCACUCUGUUAUGGUCCUCCCAACCCUCUAUUUUCAAUAGAAGCAGCAAAAGUGGGGUACUGCCCUAAAUCUUGGCCAGAGCUGUUUACGAUAAUAACUCUGAAGAGUGAUAGCUGGUUCCGCAGCGCUGGCGAUUUCUGUGGCCGCCUAUAUCGAUCGGGGGGUCCUAAUGAGCAGCAGCGGAGCUGUGGCUAAUGGUGUUGUGUCUGGUGUCCGUGGUAAACGCCCACGUUGAGAUUAUCAUUCCCAGGGGGGACUGAGAAAGGUUUUGCCAGCCCAAGCCCUCGGGGUGUGAGCGACACACUUCAGGGGUCAAGUGUCCUUCAGCAUGUGUCAGUUUUCAAGUUCAACAAGUAAACUUCCUGAAGUCUUCUCUCAAGGAGGCCAGAGAGCCUCCUCAUUUUCAGCAGAGCCCGAGCAGAGGUAAGGAUCUGUCGCUGGGGGAUUCGACUGAAGUGUGAAGAGGGGUGUAUGCAGGAGACAUGCUGAGAAUUCUAAAUAGUCCCCCAGCCAGCUCCCCGGGCCCCCGAAGAGGAACCAGCGGCAUGAUGUCACACACCUGUUUGGCUGGAGGCUGCGGCCCGGCGAUGCUUGCAGCCGUGGGUGUCGCGCUGGCACCCCUCGGCCUCCCCCAACCCCACCUCACCCCACCCUUGUCGCUGCCUGCUACGCCCCGUGGAUGUGUCAAAAUGGCAGAUGAUGGUUGGGGUGUGUGCAGCUGCUUGGGAAGAGGAGUGCCAAGGGCGCUCAUUUCCUGCGGUCAGUGCAAAGCCAAGAUAUUCCUGAGGACUGAUUAGGCUCAUGCUUGUACUUUCAAAAUGCUGAUUAUUGCAGGGACCCGACAGGCCUUGUGUUUUUCUCCAAGCAUUCUGGGGAUGUGAGUCCGAAAGUAGCCCCAUGGUGCCGUGACCCCUGACCU
rnacentral:lncRNA from 1 species